GACGUAGGGCGCGAGCGUGUCCGGAUUUAUUGGGCGUAAAGAGCUCGUAGGCGCUUGUCGCGUCGACCGUGAAAACUUGGGGCUCAACCCCAAGCCUGCGGUCGAUACGGGCAGGCUCGAGUUCGGUAGGGGAGACUGGAAUUCCUGGUGUAGCGGUGGAAUGCGCAGAUAUCAGGAGGAACACCGAUGGCGAAGGCAGAUCUCUGGGCCGUAAACUGACGCUGAGGAGCGAAAGCGUGGGGAGCGAACAGG
rnacentral:rRNA from 1 species